AGAGUUUGAUCAUGGCUCAGAGUGAACGCUGGCGGUAGGCCUAACACAUGCAAGUCGAACGGCAGCACAGAGGAGCUUGCUCCUUGGGUGGCGAGUGGCGGACGGGUGAGGAAUACAUCGGAAUCUACCCUGUCGUGGGGGAUAACGUAGGGAAACUUACGCUAAUACCGCAUACGACCUUCGGGUGAAAGAGGGGGAUCGCAAGACCUCUCGCGAUUGGAUGAGCCGAUGUCGGAUUAGCUAGUUGGCGGGGUAAAAGCCCACCAAGGCGACGAUCCGUAGCUGGUCUGAGAGGAUGAUCAGCCACACUGGAACUGAGACACGGUCCAGACUCCUACGGGAGGCAGCAGUGGGGAAUAUUGGACAAUGGGCGCAAGCCUGAUCCAGCCAUACCGCGUGGGUGAAGAAGGCCUUCGGGUUGUAAAGCCCUUUUGUUGGGAAAGAAAAGCGACCGGCUAAUACCCGGUUGUUCUGACGGUACCCAAAGAAUAAGCACCGGCUAACUUCGUGCCAGCAGCCGCGGUAAUAC
rnacentral:rRNA from 1 species